rnacentral:RNase_P_RNA from 1 species
UCGGGUGGUCGGAUAGCCGCGCCGAAGAAAGUAAAAUCUUUAGGUGAGGAAAGUCCGAGCUUCAUGGAAACAGGAUACCGGAUAACGUCCGGCUGCAGAGAUGCAAGGGAAAGCGCCGCAGAAAAUUACCGCCAAGCUUUAUGUUUGGUAAGGUUGAAAAGGUGAGGUAAGAGCUCACCGCCAAAGCAGCAAUGUUUUGGGCUAAGGCAAGCCCUAUCCGAUGUAAGACCAAAUUAGGAUUUUUCAGGUUUAACCUGACGGAGCGUUUCCACUCUGAUCCAGAGGUAGGUCGCAAGAGCAAUUUGGUAACACUUUGCUUAGAUGAAUGGCUAUCGCCGCAAACUUUAUUUUAUAAAGCAAUUGCGGAUACAGAACUCGGCUUACAGACCACCAUAAUUU